UAAAAGGCUAAAACCCUAAUAAUCUUUUCUUCGUUCUUCCAUUCCAUAUCCUAAAAACAAGUUUUGAUCUGUUUACAAUUCACGAAUUUUUAGUUUAGGUAUACGAUUGAGAUUAGGACAUGCAGGUAGAUCGAGGCUGUGAAAAUAUAAAGUAGGGUUUUACCUCCUUCGCCACUACCAGAAACCAAUUGUACCAAAGCAAAGAUUGCCGAGGAUACUAAAAACAUUGACGGGCAUUUAACAGGCUUCUGAGAAUCAAUCACAAAGUUUACAAUGUCAAGGUAGUUGUGCAAGUUAUGAGGUGCUUAGCUCACACAAUCUGGAUUGGCAACUCUGUAGCAGUGGCAACCUCCAUCGAUUUAAUAUGGAACCAUCUGUUUGGUGUCUGGAAUGGUGACAGCAGAAUUUCUUCAAGCCAAGACACUUACUUGAAUUCAGAUUCUACUGAUUCAGCUAAGUACUAGCCUUCCCAAACUUGAAUAUAGAUUUACUAUCUAUGAUGUCGAACGUCCCUUGAGAGCAGAAAAUUCCCCCUAAUUGUUGUCAUUCGUUGGUAAAUUCAAAACCAAUUUUGAUUUUACUAUUAACUUUGGUUUCACCCUUUAGUAACUCAAACUGUAUAGGGCUUCCUGUUACCGCUUCGAGGAAAGACCCGUCAUAAUAGCAAGUAGAUUUCACACUAGAGAGAAGCAGAUCGAUGAAUUACUGUUGUCGUCUUUAGUGGCGAUACAUGCAGACCAUGCAAGCAAGGAGGUCAGUACAACGCAAAAGCCGGUGUCCAUCUUGAACCAUUAAUCACUCAUAGUGAUGGCGGUGUUAGUGAAAAUAAUAACUAUGAAACGGAUGCAAUUUUUCCACAUAGUCACACUUCUGGUCCAAAUUUGGCUGCUGAUGAGCUGAGGGAGUUGCACAGGUUUGGCAGGGAGUCAAGCAACAUAAUAUUAUUAUUAUUAUUAUUUUUAUUUUUAUUAUAGGGGUAGGCCUUAUAUGUCAGCUAAAUAAUCACAUUCAUGUUAACUGUUCACCACCUAGCCACGUGGUUACGAUACUUGAUUAUGUUGUUGCAAAUUGCAUGCCACAUCCACAACUUGAAAGUAACAAUCUGUUUUUUUUUUUUUUUUUAAUUUGGCACAUUAUCCUUUCUUGCGAUCAAGUCGAAGGACUAAAAAUAUGCACGCUUGAUUUUUGAUAACAAAUUAAAAAUUCUAAUACAUCUAGAUAGUACGAUUUUUAUGAUUCUGCCAUAGUGCUGUGGCACCAGGGGUUCACAAUGCAUCUUUCUCAUGAAUAUGAUUAUUCAGGUGAAAAUUACAAAUUAAAAACACAUCGGGACAAGAAAAAUCUAAGAGUUCUUUGCUCAUGUUGUUUCGAUAAGUUACUAACCGAAUUGGAAUGACUAAGUUUUUUUUCUCCUUUUUUUUUGGUUAUUUCAGCGAAGAUGGUGAUCGAGGUGGUUAUGGAGAAAAUGGGGACGUCAUGCGUUCAGACAACAACAAAGAUGGAGGAUCUGGGUCGGAAAGACAUCAACAACAUGGAAACCGCUUGCAGUAUGUACUGAUAGAAUCUAUAUACACUUUGAUGCCAAGCUCAUUUCCUGAGAAGCAACUGUGUAAACAAAUGUUAGUGCCACUAAUGUUAAUCCCAGCAUAUAAGCAAGCUUUGUGGUGAGCAUCUGAAAUGUCUCUACCAAAACGGUAUUAAGAACCCUGAGUGAGAAAUAACAAAUGUUACUGACUAAGAAA